rnacentral:rRNA from 1 species
GAACGCUGGCGGCGUGCCUAAUACAUGCAAGUUGAGCGAUGAAGAUUGGUGCUUGCACCAAUUUGAAGAGCAGCGAACGGGUGAGUAACGCGUGGGGAAUCUGCCUUUGAGCGGGGGACAACAUUUGGAAACGAAUGCUAAUACCGCAUAACAACUUUAAACAUAAGUUUUAAGUUUGAAAGAUGCAAUUGCAUCACUCAAAGAUGAUCCCGCGUUGUAUUAGCUAGUUGGUGAGGUAAAGGCUCACCAAGGCGAUGAUACAUAGCCGACCUGAGAGGGUGAUCGGCCACAUUGGGACUGAGACACGGCCCAAACUCCUACGGGAGGCAGCAGUAGGGAAUCUUCGGCAAUGGACGAAAGUCUGACCGAGCAACGCCGCGUGAGUGAAGAAGGUUUUCGGAUCGUAAAACUCGGUUGGUAGAGAAGAACGUUGGUGAGAGUGGAAAGCUCAUCAAGUGACGGUAACUACCCAGAAAGGGACGGCUAACUACGUG